rnacentral:rRNA from 1 species
UACGUAGGGUGCAAGCGUUGUCCGGAAUUAUUGGGCGUAAAGGGCUCGUAGGCGGUUUGUCGUCGUCGGGAGUGAAAACUCAGGGCUUAACCCUCGAGCCUGGCUUCCGAUACGGGCAGACUAGAGGUAUGCAGGGGAGAAUGGAAUUCCGUGGUGUAGCGGUGAAAUGCGCAGAUAUCAGGAGGAACACCGGUGGCGAAGGCGGUUCCUCUGGCAUUACCUGACGCUGAGGAGCGAAAGUGUGGGAGGCGAACAGG